UUCGCCCGUGCACUCCUUCUAAACAACGCAAUUUUUAACAACUUUGGCAAAGUCUAUAAAACGCAGUCCACUCUGUUUGUUACAGAUUAUAGUUUGGGAAACGGUAUCAAGAUCUACUGGACUUCCGUUCAUCACCAUAUUUGGUAUGCUGUCCCCAGAGCCUAAUGCGCUUGUGAAGGCCCUGCGAAAGCUUCCCAUCCUCCAUGAUGAGGAGUAUGCUCUGCAGUCCCAUAUGUACGAAUACUACAGCACGAGUGGCCCACAGGAGAACACCCUGGCCCUGCCGCUGUCAACUGAAUAAGAGGAUAGUGUACACUUUUUUAGAGUACAGCCCUUUGCAAUAUGACCAUAGAUGACUGGGCUACACUUGGGAAGGACAUUGAGAAACACUACGAGAAAUAUGACGGUUUUGUCAUCCUCCAUGGCGUGGACACUAUGGCCUACACAGCAUCUGCUCUGUCCUUCAUGUGUGAGCACCUGGGGAAGCCUGCCAUCCUCACCGGCUCCCAGAUACACCUGCCAUCCUUCUGGCUGAACUGCCUGAUGAAGAUAACAGAAGCGUGAGAUGUUGUUUAUAUGACCUCUUGCAGAUCUAUGAGACGAGGUACGAUGGAAGAAACAACCUUUUGGAGACACUGCUGAUCGCUGGUCAGUUUUCAAUUCCUGAGGUGAAGAGUGGUGUUAGGAGCCUCCUUAAAGGAGGGAGGUGCAGGAAUCAGGAGCAGGAGAACAAGGAAGCCCCAGUGGCACAAUCGUUUAUUAAAGACGUCCCAACUCAGCAACAACAUGGGGGAGAAUAUGCCCAAACGAGGUCGCCACCCACAGGGAAAUAAACGUUACACACGGAGGAGAAACCUCUACUCCUAAACAUAUACCAAACGGUACAAACUGCCGUGUGAAAGAAAACUCCGUGGUUCAGAUACGCACCCCUAACAAAGAUACCACAGCAAACAAUUCCUCACAAAGACUAGCAGGCAGCGGAGGUAAAUAAACCCCCCGAAAUCAACUAAUAGGACACAGGUGUAAACAAUACAAAGGAAAAGGACAAAUGGAUCGGUGGCAGCUAGUAGGCCGGCGACGACGACCGCCGAGCACCGCCCGAACAGGGAGAGGAGCCACCUUUGAUGGAAGUCGUGACAAGUGGAGGGAGGCUUCUUGGCAGCUCAGUUGCCUACAAGUCACUGGUGAAGUCCUUCCUGCAGUCACCCAUGGAGGGCGUCGUCCUGGAGACCAAGCUGACCUGCUGAAGGAGUUCCGGAAUACCACAGAGAGCGGUGUGAUCAUUGUUAACUGCACCCAGUGUCUGAGGGGUUCUGUCACCACAUCAUACGCCACUGGAAUGGUAGACCAGAAGACAAUAUGCUGAGUCAGAACCUGCGGGGGGAGAUGAUCGGUGACCUGCAGGGGGCCAAGCUCACUCUGAGCGACAGUCGCUUCAUUCAGGUCAUCUCCAAGUCCCUGAGCAUCAAUAGUAAGAAGAAGCCAUAAGGGAUGCCCUGACCCCCACCUUAGCUUGUGCUGCUUCUAAAGAUUGGAGACGUGGGGGCCUUAGAUGCCUUAAAGGAGAUGGGCAGUAACCUGAGUCUGGGGGACUAUGAUGGACGCACCCCUCUGCACAUCGCUGCCAGUGAGGGCCACCUCAAAGUGGUGCAGUAUCUACAGGACCAGGGAGCCACCGUCCAUGCCAAAGAUUGCACACCCCUGCGCGCUAUGUAUUUCAGACACAAAGAGGUGGUGAAGUUGCUGAGAGAGACAGGAGUCCGUUUCUCCAGCGAUGAGCUGAAGGAUGCAGGCACAGAGCUGUGCAGUCUGGCAUCCAAUGCUGACAUCGAGGGCCUGGAAAUGUGGCACCUGGCCGGGGGAGACCUGAGCAUAUGAGGCUACGACGGGAAGAUGCCCAUGGAUGUGAAUGAAGAGUACAUCGAGUUCUCAGCCUGUCCAAAAGGACCCUGAAGACAAAGAUCCUCAACACGUUUGCCUUUCUCUUUUAUCUCUCUGUCCAUCCCCAUCACUCUCUCUCUGACUUUCCAUUUCACUCUUACAAUGGACAAUUUUAUAUAGAGAUUCAUUCAAGCCAUUUAUAGUUUAUAUAUUUGCGUCCAUCCCAAGUACAGUUAGAGAGCUGUACGCUGUAAAACUACUGGUAGAACAACAUGUCAUGUAAUAUUGAUACACUGUGCCUAGAACGGGCAGUACUAUAUCUAUGUGUAUGUUUUGUAUGUACCACCGUAUACUAUCUUGUAUGUGGAAGCAAUUCACUCUGUUUGUAUUAUUAGAGUAUAAUCAGUGUUCAUUGGGAGCACAGAGUACAAUGCUGUACUUUAUACUAAGCACUUCAUAAAGCACAUCCAAAGUGCCAUUUAUUCUAAGCUGAAAUCUUUGUGAAAUUUGCCUAGAUGUUUAUUUUCCCAAUUAUGUAUCAUUCAUGUAGUCCAUAUUUUAGCUCUACCUCCUUCUGAAAGUACAGAUAACUGAGGUGUUUCCUGUUUGUAAAACAGUGCAAUUCGUUCCUCUAUCCUGCUAACACACAGCUCUCCUAGCAUAUAAACCCAGCUCCCUCUGUAGUCGAUAAAAAUGUCAUUCAGCGGAUGCUUUUAUCUAAAGCAACUUGCAGAGACAUACAGUUACUCAAAAUUCCAUCAAUGUGAAAUUCCAACCCACAUCGUCUUCCAUAGUUUUGUACUUCCUCUUCUGUUUCUGUUGCCUCCUGCUUCCUUGUUUCUUCUCUCUGACAGCCCAGGCUGAGAGGAAGGUUAUAGCUGGAUAUCAAACCAGCUGUUGUCCCCCCAAAACACAAUAAAAGUCUGGAAAAUUGUGUGUGUGUGGGUGAAAACAAGUAAAAAUGUAACAAAAAAAUGUACUGUGUGCCUUCACUCUGUCGUCCUCCUCCCUGGGCCUGUUGUUUCAAAAUAGCACCAAGAACCUGUCUGUCUGCCUGCCUGUCUCCCGCUUUUCUCACACUCUUUACCCUUUGUAGUGUGUGAAACUACACAAUGUCUUGCGGGAACCUGGACAAUGUUUUUACAAUACAUUAUUUCGAUACAUUGUAAAAAGGUCUGUAUUUUCCCACACUCUACCCCAGCCAGGUGCAAAUUGGGGGAGGGACACAAACAAAUAAAUAGCUUUGCAUGUGUGGCUCCUUACCACAAUCAAUUAAUAUGGCAAAAAUCAUCUCUGCUCAUAAGGCUUUGGAAAUCAUUUUUGCAGAGAGAGAAGCUAGUGUGGAAGGAUCGUCUUCAGAGAGAGAAGCUAGUGUGGAAGGAGCGUCUUCAGAGAGAGAAGCUAGUGUGGAAGGAUCGUCUUCAGAGAGAGAAGCUAGUGUGGAAGGAGCGUCUUCCACUUUGGAAGAUGAAGAAUUUUCCAAAUAUGAGCAUCGUGUCUCUGUCAAUUCGGAGUCUGACAGUGAGUUGGAAGAAGAGGAUGAGAUUGACCCUCAGCCAGCCCCAAGACCAGUAUGGUGGAAACUACAAGAUUGUUAUAAUACUUUUAUUGCAUCAAAUGGUUGUUUUUUGCAACAGAAUAAGGGGUUGUUAGAACGCUCAUCUGUGUGUGUUCUACUGAGGAUGGGCCUCUGGGAGAUAACACUGACAGGCGAUAUACUAUGUCUUUGGGGAUACCGCAUUCCAGAACAUGAGUGAAUGUUUCUGUUAUAUAAGGUACCAGGGAGAGACGACUCCAGAGCCAGACCCUGGUCUCACCAGCCCGUCAGCAACCACCUCAUCAGCAGCCAGCCCCAGGACCAGCCCGUCAGCAACCAGCUCAUCAGCAGCCAGCCCCAGGACCAGCCCGUCAGCAACCAGCUCAUCAGCAACCUGCAGGAGAAGAAAUGGGGAUGUAAAAUAUUUGUGAAAUUGAAUGGUCUUCUUGCCCAAGGAAUUGGCCUCCCCGUCUGGCUGCCAAUGUGAUAAGGAUGCAACCAGGGCCGAUGUGGAUGGUGGUUCCUCAUGUGCAGGACAUAAAGUCUUCUUUUGAACGGUUCAUCCCAGACACCAUCCAGAAAAUCAUUCUGAACUGCACUCAUUUGGAGGGAAUGUGUGUUUUUGGAGAGAGAUGGAAGGAGAUGGACUAAACUCAUUUACAUGCAUACUUUGGGGUUCUUAUCCUUGCUGGUGUUUUCAGAUUCAAUGGGGAAUCCACAGAAUCCCUGUGGGAUGCAGAAACUGGCAGAGAACUUUUCUGUGCAACAAUGUCUCUGGAAAACUUCCACAUUAUUUCCAGGAUUAUCUGCUUCGAUAACCGAGACACCAGACCAGCUCGGCGGCAGAAAGACAAGCUAGCUGCAAUCAGGACAGUGUGCGACAAGUGGUCGGACUGCCUUCCCCUGUUUUACAACCCUGGGCCCAAUGUUACUGUUGAUGAGCAGCUAAUGCCAUUUAGGGGCCGCUGCCCCUUCAGGCAGUACAUACCGUCUAAACUUGCAAAAUAUGGAAUCAGGAUCUGGGCUGCCUGUGAUGCUGCUUCAUCAUAUGCGUGGAACUUGCAAGUGUAUAUGGGGAAGCCAGAUGGAGGAGCCCCUGAGAAGAACCAAGGGAUACGGGUUGUCCUGGACGUGACAUGGCCUCCAUGGCCACAACAUCACAUGCAAUAACUUUUUUACUUCGCACAAGCUGGGACAGAAGCUCCUCAAGAGCAAGCUGACGAUGGUAUUAACAGUACGAAAAAACAAGCCAGAGCUCCCACCUCAGCUGUUGAAUACAUGGAAUAGGCCUAUUAAUUCCUCUAAGUUUGUGUUCACCGCCGACACGUCCCUAGUGUCCUACGUAACAAAGACAAAAAUGUGGUACUCAUGAGUACGCUGCAUAGGGAUGGGAGAAUCUGUGGCCAGGAACAUCAAAAACCAGAAAUCAUAAUGGAUUAUAAUGCCACAAAAUGAGGGGUGGACAACUUAGACAAGCUGGUGACCGGCUACAGCUGCAAAAGAAGAACCCUACGCUGGCCACUUCUGAUAUUCUUCAACAUCUUGGACAUCUCGUUUGUCUCAUACAACGCGUUUGUUAUCUGGAUGGUGUUGAACCCAGAUUGGAACAGAGGGCAGCUCCAGAGGAGAUGGCUAUUUCUCGAGGAGCUGGUCAAAGCAUUAGUAAGACCUCAAAUCCAGAGGAGGCAACAUAUCUCAAGGACCCCAGCUUCUGCAGCCAUCGUGAGGAGGAUUCAGGAGGAGGAUGCUGGUGCUCAAAUACUGGAAAUUACAGCCGGUAACAACAAGAAGAAGCGCUGCGAUGUGUGUGGACCCAAGAAGGACAGGAAGACACAGUACACAUGCAUCAAAUGCAAGAAAUACAUUUGCAACACACACACAGUAAAACUCUGUCCCUCAUGUGGUGUGUAGACUGGCCUUAAUUUGUGUUCAAUGGGGCUCAUUUGUCAUUUCCGUAAAAUACUGUGUGUAAAAUGUGUCCUUCCAAUUUGUUCAGUUCAAAGCAAUAAACAUCAAUAGUGAUGAAAACCUUGUUUAAUAUA